AAUGAAUUGCCUGAUAAAAAGGAUUA
rnacentral:ncRNA from 8 species